rnacentral:rRNA from 1 species
CAGUCGCCGCGGUAAUACAGAGGGUGCGAGCGUUAAUCGGAUUUACUGGGCGUAAAGCGUGCGUAGGCGGCUUUUUAAGUCGGAUGUGAAAUCCCUGAGCUUAACUUAGGAAUUGCAUUCGAUACUGGGAAGCUAGAGUAUGGGAGAGGAUGGUAGAAUUCCAGGUGUAGCGGUGAAAUGCGUAGAGAUCGGAAAGAACACCAACGGCGAAAGCACUCUGCUGGGCCGACACUGACACUGAGAGACGAAAGCUAGGGGAGCAAAUGGGAUUAGAGACCCCCGUAGUCCCUGUCUCUUAUAC